rnacentral:rRNA from 1 species
GAUGAACGCUGGCGGCGCGCCUAACACAUGCAAGUCGAACGGCACCUAUCUUCGGAUAGAAGCGAGUGGCGAACGGCUGAGUAACACGUGGAGAACCUGCCCCCUCCCCCGGGAUAGCCGCCCGAAAGGACGGGUAAUACCGGAUACCCCCGGGCGCCGCAUGGCGCCCGGGCUAAAGCCCCGAGGGGAGGGGAUGGCUCCGCGGCCCAUCAGGUAGACGGCGGGGUGACGGCCCACCGUGCCGACAACGGGUAGCCGGGUUGAGAGACCGACCGGCCAGAUUGGGACUGAGACACGGCCCAGACUCCUACGGGAGGCAGCAGUGGGGAAUCUUGCGCAAUGGGGGGAACCCUGACGCAGCGACGCCGCGUGCGGGACGGAGGCCUUCGGGUCGUAAACCGCUUUCAGCAGGGAAGAGUCAAGACUGUACCUGCAGAAGAAGCCCCGGCUAACUACGUGCCAGCAGCCGCGGUAAUACGUAGGGGGCGAGCGUUAUCCGGAUUCAUUGGGCGUAAAGCGCGCGUAGGCGGCCCGGCAGGCCGGGGGUCGAAGCGGGGGGCUCAACCCCCCGAAGCCCCCGGAACCUCCGCGGCUUGGGUCCGGUAGGGGAGGGUGGAACACCCGGUGUAGCGGUGGAAUGCGCAGAUAUCGGGUGGAACACCGGUGGCGAAGGCGGCCCUCUGGGCCGAGACCGACGCUGAGGCGCGAAAGCUGGGGGAGCGAACAGGAUUAGAUACCCUGGUAGUCCCAGCCGU